rnacentral:rRNA from 1 species
GUGGGGAAUAUUGGGCAAUGGGCGAAAGCCUGACCCAGCAACGCCGCGUGAAGGAAGAAGGUUUUCGGAUCGUAAACUUCUAUCCUUGGUGAAGAUAAUGACGGUAGCCAAGAAGGAAGCCCCGGCUAACUACGUGCCAGCAGCCGCGGUAAUACGUAGGGGGCAAGCGUUGUCCGGAAUGAUUGGGCGUAAAGGGCGCGUAGGCGGCCUGGUAAGUCUGGAGUGAAAGUCCUGCUUUUAAGGUGGGAAUUGCUUUGGAUACUGUCGGGCUUGAGUGCAGGAGAGGUAAGUGGAAUUCCCGGUGUAGCGGUGAAAUGCGUAGAGAUCGGGAGGAACACCAGUGGCGAAGGCGACUUACUGGACUGUAACUGACGCUGAGGCGCGAAAGUGUGGGGAGCAAACAGGAUUAGAAACCCGUGUAUCC